ensembl:lncRNA
AUGUCAGACAAUAAAAGUAUUUUUUGGUAUUAACUUUUAUAAUAUUUCAGAAUGCAGGGGUAUAUUGCAAGGGUUUGGCCUAUUUUCUUUUGCCCAUAAAUCUUUCCAGCUCAAAUGUUUCCACCAGUUUUUUCUUAUUCCAGGUGGAAAAAAAUCUUUGGAAAAAAUGAGAAUAUGACAAGUCCAUUUUGGAGCCUAAGGAUCUAACAGAGUUAAGAUAUAAUUUUGUUACUUAUCUCUCCUCUCCAAGUAAUGCUAAUGCUAAAAUCACCAAUAGUUAUGUAAGAGAACACAAAAGUGCUUUUCAGUAUAGUCACAAACUUUACUGGCUUUAAAAGGACUCAGAAAUCCUAAUGGGGAACAAAUUCUGUACUCUUCCUUAUGUUCCAAAAUUUCUAUGGUACAAAAAAAUCCAUAACCUACUUUUCUUCACAGCUUUCCUGAAGUGACCCUCAAGUCAAACACAAGUUCAUAAAUGUUAAGACACCAGGAAGAAAGAAUGCCACCAACCUGAGGCAUGCCAUGUGGAUGUAUAUGUGUAUGCCUCUGUGGUCAAGUGGCAUUAGUAAGAUUGGCACAUGUACAAGCUCAAGUUUGUAAUGUCCAUAUAGUUCCAUAAUAGUCAAAGUAAAUUCUGCAUGUCUUAAUGCAAACACUGAGCACCUGUCCUUUAACUUGAAGGCUAGACUGAUACACAAAUUCUACUAGUACCUGCUUUAUCAUUUUUAUACUACUAGCUUACAGGUGGGCAGAAGUAACAGUGCUAAUCAUUUUGGCUAUGUGUGCAGAGAAUAUAAAGCUUUGGUUUAAGGUGAUUCUGAUAAUACAAAUUGUAAAUACAAACAAGACAUCAUCAGGCAUAGAGAAUAAUAGUACUCAUUGAUUUAAUGCCUUUGCUGUUAACAAAAAUAUCAUUACUGUCAAUUAAAAUGCACAGUUAUGAAAAACAUGAGGAAUUACAUAAGAGACUGUAUACAGGCAACAGAUAACAUUUAUUCUUUUCUUGACUAUAGCUCUGACUCCUCCCUCCACUCUCUGAAACUGGACCAUGUCCUCACUAUAACCAAGAAGAUUCUCUGGACCCACCUGAGGGCUCACUGUGCCCUCAGCUCUGACAGAUGAGUGCAGAGAGAUGGUUGGCCCAGGUACUUCCACACCUGCCACAGCAUCCUGUCCAGACUGUGGUAGAAGUCAAAGCAGAGCUAAAGACGACUGUAAAGGAGGAACACUGGCUUCACAGCACGCCUUCCCUAGCCAACAAAAAGAGGUAUGAAACAAUUUCCUUUUAAACGCCUGUUAAGCUAAGGAAGCUUAUUUUGAUAAUGUCUGGCAGAAUUUCUAUUCCAAAAGAGCUCAUGAAGAACUAUGCAAAACCAAUUACUUUCUAUUUAAGAAUUAUAUAUAAGCUAUUAUACACACAUACAAAUUCAACUUUAAUCUACUUUAGCAACCAAGAGCUUGGCAAUUUACAACAAAUACCUUUACUGAACAAUCGUCUGUACUAGCUAUUUGUGGAAAAUGUGCUGGCGCUCCUACCUGAGGACGAUUACACUCGCCUGUCACCAGGAGGUCACCUAUUUUUGAGUUGUUCUUCCAAGAGCAGACUAAUCUAACUGGACAGUCAUACCUUUCCUUCCUUCCCACCCCUGCCCCAACUCCACAUACACACACUUCACAGAAAAGGAAACUAAGGUUUUAGUCAAAACGUUAGUUAAAAGUAAGGAUUAGAAUUUGCUAUCCCUGGAUUUCUUGCUCAUUGCCCUAGGUCUCAUUGCCUUAACAUUUGUAAACCAUUCAAACGGGACCUCUUUAGGGCAAAACCCACCAUUCUUGCUCUGCUUUGAAAAUUAUAACUGAAUCAUGAUAUAUACUUUAUAUAUACAUAAUAUAUAAAGAAUUUGGACAGUGCCAAUGUGAUUGAAAAUCAAGUAAUCAACCUGGAAAACAAUUCACUACGUCACAUUAGAAUUAGAAUACCUCUUUCUCUCCUUGUCUUAGGAAUUCGCAUCAAGUAAAACUGCAGUGUGACUAUCACAGACUAAUGCUAAUGUUUCUAACAUAUUAAAAAAAAAAAAAAAAAAAAAAAAAAG